rnacentral:rRNA from 1 species
GGAUUAGAUACCCUGGUAGUCCACGCCGUAAACUUUGGAUACUAGGUGUUGGAGGGCUCGACCCCUUCAGUGCCGAAGCUAACGCAUUAAGUAUCCCGCCUGGGGAGUACGAACGCAAGUUUAAAACUCAAAGGAAUAGACGGGGACCCACACAAGCGGUGGAGCACCUGGUUUAAUUCGAUAAUGAGCGAGGAACCUUACCUAGGUUUGACAUCCCGAGAAUCCUGUCGAAAGAUGGGAGUGCCUUACGGAACUCGGUGACAGGUGCUGCAUGGUCGUCGUCAGCUCGUGCCG